UGUUUUUUUUUUUUUUGAACUAACACUUAUAUUAUAGCCAUGUUACAUAAGGACCAUUGUGCGGUAAAAUGUUAAGAGCUUCAGUUUUCAAUGGAAUGGUUGCAAUUCUAAGGAGUAAGGACUGAAUACUUCAUGCAAGAAAGAGUGGUGCUAUGUUGUGAAUAAGAGAAGCGAGGAAGGCUGAUAAGUAGCUUAUUCUAAGCUAAUUAUGCCUUUUUAGGCUAUUUUGCGUUCUUUAUAAUUUCUAUGAGUGUUUUUUAUGCUUUGUAGAAUCUCCAGGUCCUAGGCACAAUUAGUUGUAGUUAUGGUUUGUUGUAUAACAAACUGCAAUAUAUACAGAUACAUUUGUAAAGUGGGAAAUCGUUGAUUGAUUAAUAGAGAAUUCACUACUAUUCUCCUCAAUUCUUCUCUCUAUUCUUCUUCUUCCUUUCUCUAAUUUUUCUCCCUUUUUCCCUGAGAAUUCUUCCCUUCUUC
rnacentral:misc_RNA from 1 species